AAAGAAAGAGAGAGUUAGAGGAAGUUCACGGAGAUGGGUGGGUAGGCAAAAAGAAAAAGUUAAGGCCUCGUUUAAUCUUGGCUCAUACUUUUUACCUACUCCACCCAUUCCAUUCACUUCCUUCAACUUCUCUGUUUCUUU
rnacentral:sRNA from 1 species